GUCUGGUUAAUUCCGAUAACGAACGAGACUCUAGCCUAUUAAAUAGUUCGCCGGUCCUUCGAUGUGCCGGUGUAACUUCUUAGAGGGACGAGUGGCUUUUAGCCACACGAGAUUGAGCAAUAACAGGUCUGUGAUGCCCUUAGAUGUCCGGGGCCGCACGCGCGCUACACUGAAGGAAUCAGCGUGGAUACCCCCCUGACCCGAAAGGGUUGGGAAACCCGUUGAAUCUCCUUCGUGCUAGGGAUUGGGGCUUGUAAUUCUUCCCCAUGAACGAGGAAUUCCCAGUAAGCGCGAGUCAUAAGCUCGCGUUGAUUACGUCCCUGCCCUUUGUA
rnacentral:rRNA from 1 species